UCAUGGCAUACAUUUAAAAAAGAGUAUGCCUGCUUAAGUCCAAGUCAUUUCUGCCAAAAGUAAAAUUAAAGUUCUACUCAAGUAGUUUGAAAGUAUGUUUCAACUUAUACAAUGAAAAUAACAUAUUUCACAAGCAUAUGAAACAGACCUCUUUUCCAUGUUUGCCUCGGUAGCAAUCUAAAAUGGGUUCCUCUAGAAAGCCUCUCUUCUGAAAACAGGAUUUCCAAUUCAUGAUAUUUCUCUAUUUCAGUCAGUGCCUCAAUGCAUGUAAUGAAUUUUAUAUAGGAAUUUAAUUAAAGAACUUUGAUAUAGAUUUAAGAGACAUGCAUCUUCCAUCUAAAAAUGUCAAUUACACAUUGGAUCAGUACCUGGAGCGUUAGCUAAUGUAAAGAAAAAGGAUAUGAACUCUGCAGUUUACUGGGUGGUGUAAACCAUGAGUAGGAUCCUGCAGGUUUACCAGUUCUGGCGGGACAUCAAUUUUGCACAGGCUUCCACAGUAUUUAGCAAGCAUUCAUCUGAGCCAUUCUGCAAAAUAGAAAGUGAAAUAGUUAGGACUCUCUUCCUUUUCCUUUCCCUUUCCGUUAGUUCUCUUAGCAACCAGAGGGUAGAAUUGAAUGAAGGAAAUGGCAAACACACCAGAUGAAAAUGGAAAGUUACCUGGCACUUGAAGUGUUUGUCCCUCUGUCAGCUCAGCAUUGGCCCAGGGAAGCAGCCUGAGAUGGUAAUUGGAAUGAUUUCACUUACAUAGGUACUUGUCAGGUCAUCAAUGAUGAACUGAAUACAACUAGGACAAAGAGUUUCAUGGUACAAAGUCAUAUUAAUUUUGUCAGGAUCAUCUAAUGAAGAUUAAGGUGGAGAUAUGAACAAGAGCAGCAGAAAAGUAAAAAGAAAGCAAGAGAAUAGUUGAGGUGAAUAAGCCAUUUCUCAGAGCUUAGUAAUGGUAAGCCCCUAUAUUGUGUUAGAAUUCAUGAGAGUUUGCCUUUGAAAAUGUCUUAGUUAGACUCAGUCUCUGUUUUGCUCCAUAAUUUUCAGUUUUUCUGUUAGUAGAAGUAGUCAUAGCAGUUGAGAGUUUUUAGCAUUUUUCAGUUUGGUUGUAAGCCUAUAAAUAGGCAUUCUCAUUGGUGAAAUAUAGUGUGCCUUUCUCCAACUUAGUACUCUAAUAUUUUCUGCAAGUUUUAGUUCCUUAUUUUUUCUCCAGAUUUUAACAGUGGUAUCAGAGCAUUAUUCCUACGGGCUGUGAGGCAAAGUUUUUGAGUGUUUUUAGUAUUAAACACAGUGAGGUUGAGUGCAAACACUAGUGAGGUUGAGUGAUCUAUUUUUUAAGCAACUGUGGUGCAAACAUGUCUCCUUCUAGCAAUACUUCCUCUGUAAUUCCAGUGUUUAAUGGUGAGCACUAUCACAUUUGGGCUGUCAAGAUGAGGUUUUAUUUAAGGUCUCAAGGUUUGUGGAAUGUUGUGAUGUCUGAAGAUGAUCCACCACCAUUGGGAGCAAAUCCUACAGUUGCUCAGAUGAAAGCAUAUGAGGAAGAAAAACUCAAAAAAGACAAAGCCAUCACUUGCCUACAUUCAGGACUUGCAGACCACAUCUUCACCAAAAUCAUGAACUUGGAAACACCUAAACAGGUAUGGGACAAGCUCUAAGGGAAUUUGAGGGCAGUGAAAGAGUCAAAACUGUUAGACUCCUCACAUUGAAGAGAGAGUUUGAGUUGAUGAAGAUGAAAGACGACGAAUCUGUCAAAGAUUAUUCUGGCAGGUUAAUGGAUGUUGUAAACCAAAUGCGGCUUCUUGGUGAGGCAUUUACAGAUCAAAAGGUGGUAGAAAAAAUCAUGGUUUCAGUGCCUCAAAAGUUUGAAGCCAAGAUUUCUGCAAUUGAAGAGUCUUGUGACUUGCAAACUCUCACAAUUGUAGAGUUAACCAGCAAGCUUCAUGCACAGGAGCAAAGGGUCUUAAUGAGAGGUGAUAAAGCUACUGAAGGUGCUUUUCAAGCAAAUCACAAGGGAAAGAAUUCUGGAAACUUGCAAGGAAAGAAGUUCUUCAAGAACAACAAAGGGAAAGUUGAAGGGUUUUCAAGAAAAGGAAAAUUUCCAUCUUGCUUUCAUUGUAGAAGAACCAACCAUGCUGAGAAAGAUUGUUGGAACAAAGGUAAACCUCUCUUUAAUUGUAAUUUUUGCAAUAAACUUUGCCACAGUGAGAAGUAUUGCAGAGCCAAGAAAAAACAAUCUCAACAGCAACCAGAAAAAAAUGCAAGUGUGAUUGAAGAAAACAAAAAUGAUGAUGAGCAUUUAUUUAUGGCAUCACAAACACUCAGUUCUCAUGAACUGAAUACUUGGCUCAUUGACAGUGGCUGCACGAGUCACAUGACCAAAUAUCUGUCAAUAUUUACCUCCAUUGAUAGAUCAGUUCAACCAAAGGUCAAGUUGGGAAAUGGUGAAGUUGUGCAGGCCAAAGGAAAAGGGACAAUUGCUAUCAGCACCAAGAGAGGUACAAAAAUUGUCACUAAUGUUCUUUACAUUCCAGAUUUAGAUCAGAAUCUUCUUAGUGUUGCACAAAUGCUAAGAAAUGGAUAUGCAGUCUCUUUCAAAGAAAAUUUUUGUUUUAUCACUAAUGUACAAGAAAAAGAGAUAGCAAAAAUUAAAAUGAAUGGAAAUAUCUUUUAUUUGAAGCUUGAUUUAGUUGAAGGUCAUGUCUUUAGUGCCAAGAUUGAUGAGAGUGUUGUUUGGCACAAAAGCUAUGGUCAUUUCAACUUGAAGUCAUUGAGGUUCAUGCAAGAAGCUGGUAUGGUUGAAGACAUGCUUGAAAUCUCAGUUAAUGCUCAAACUUGUGAAAGUUGUGAGCUAGGGAAGCAACAACGACAACCAUUCCCUCAAAAUAUGUCCAAGAGAGCUACUCACGAGCUUGAAUUAAUUCAUUCAUAUAUUUGUGGACCAAUGAGCAUAGCCUCAUUGAGCAACAAUGUGUAUUUUGCAUUAUUUAUUGAUGAUCUCAGCAGAAUGACUUGGGUUUAUUUUCUAAAAACCAAGUCACAAGUGCUCUCUAUGUUCAAAAGCUUCAAGAAAAUGGUUGAAACUCAAAGUGGCCAGAACGUUAAGGUGCUCAUAAUUGAUAAUGGAGGUGAGUAUAUCUCAAAAGAGUUCAACGUCUUUUGUCAAGAAGCUGGAAUUGUACACUAGCUAACAGCUCCAUACUUACCACAGCAGAAUGAAGUCUCUGAGAGGAAGAACAAAACCGUGAUGGAGAUGGCAAGGUGCAUGCUAUUCGAGAAGAGGCUACCAAAACUUCUAUGGGCUGAAGCAGUCAACACCUCAGUAUAUUUGCUUAACAGACUGCCAACUAAGUCUGUUCAGAGCAAAACACCAAUAGAGGCAUGGUUUGGUGUAAAACCUUCUGUCAAGCACCUGAAAGUUUUUGGCUCAUUGUGUUAUCUUCAUGUGCCAUCUGUCAAGAGAGGGAAGCUUGAUGAAAGAGCUGAGAAAGGUGUCUUUGUUGGGUAUGCAGCUGAAUCAAAAGGUUACAGAAUUUAUAGCUUGAGUAGAAUGAAAAUCGUGAUAAGUAGAGAUGUGCACUUUGAUGAAAACUCCUACUGGAAUUGGGACUUGAAGAAAGUUCAUAAAUGUGAUCAAAACACUCCAUCUAUUCUUGAACCAGCAAUAGAAAGUAUAAUCAUUGAAGGUCCACUUGAUGUUGAAGCAACUUCAGACACACCCAUGCUUAAGAUGAGGCCAUUAUCUGAUGUGUAUGAGAGGUGCAAUCUUGUACAUGCUGAGCCUACAUGUUACACGGAAGCUGCAAGAUUUCUAGAAUGGAUUAAGGCCAUGAAAGCUGAAAUUGAUGCUAUUGAAAGAAAUGGAACCUGGAAGUUGACAGAACUACCUGAAGCUAAGAAUGCAAUUGGUGUAAAAUGGGUUUUCAGAACCAAAUUUAAUUCAGAUGGUUCAAUCUUCAGGCACAAGGCUAGAUUGGUUGUGAAGGGUUUUGCUCAAGUUGCUAGAGUGGACUAUGGUGAUACAUUUGCACUAGUAGCCAAACAUGACACUAUAAGGCUACUACUUGCACUUGCUAGUCAAAUGGGAUGGAAAGUGUACCAUUUAAAUGUCAAGUCAGCUUUUCUAAAUGGUAUACUUCUUGAAGAAAUUUAUGUUCAACAACCAGAAGGCUUUGAGGUUAUUGGCCAUGAACAUAAAGUGUACAAGCUACAUAAGGCUGUCUAUGGUUUGAAGCAAGCACCAAGGGCCUGGUAUAGCAGAAUUGAUUCUCAUCUGAUCCAACUUGGAUUUAGGAGGAGUGAAAAUGAAGCUACUUUGUAUUUGAAACAAAAUGAUGAUGGUUUGCAACUGGUAGUAUCACUUUAUGUUGAUGACAUGCUAGUGACUGGAAGCAAUGUAAAAUUGCUAGCUGAUUUCAAAAUGGAAAUGCAGGAUGUAUUUGAGAUGUCUGACCUUGGCAUCAUGAACUACUUCCUUGGAAUGGAAAUAUACCAAUGCAGCUGGGGUAUCUUCAUUUCACAAAGAAAAUAUGCUAUGGAUAUUCUCAAGAAAUUCAAGCUAGAAUCAUGCAAAGAAGUAGCAACUCCGCUGGCACAAAAUGAGAAAAUUUCAAAGAAUGAUGGUGAGAAACUUGAGGAACCCUUUGCAUAUAGAAGCUUGGUGGGCAGCCAACUAUACUUGACAGUAACCAGACCUGACUUGAUGUUUCCAGCUAGUUUGCUUUCAAGGUUCUUGAGUUCACCUAGCAAUGUUCACAUGGGAGUUGCAAAGAGGGUGCUAAAGUUUGUUAAAGGUACAACAAAUCUUGGCAUUUGGUAGUUAAAGACAGGAGGAGUUAAGCUAGAUGGUUAUGCUGAUAGUGAUUGGGCAGGAAGUGUUGAUGAUAUGAAGAGCACUUCAGGUUAUGUAUUUACAAUCGGUUCAGGUGUCAUAUGCUGGAAUUCAAGAAAGCAAGAAGUAGUGGCACAAUCAACUAUAGAAGCUGAGUAUAUCUCCUUAGCAGCUGCUGCAAAUCAAGCAAUAUGGUUGAGAAAAUUGCUUGCUGAUUUAGGCCAGGAACAAAGCUCACCAACUGAGCUUUACUGUGACAAUAAGUCAGCCAUUUCCAUUACUUAAAAUCCUGUCCAACAUGGCAGAACCAAGCACAUAAAUGUAAAAUUCCACUCCAUAAGGGAAGCUGAAACGAAUUCACUUGUUAAGCUGCAUUAUUGCUCAACUGAUGAGCAACUUGCUGACAUAAUGACUAAAGGACUUCCUAAAUCAAGGCUGGAGUUCCUAAGGUUGAAGCUUGGUAUGUCUAAGGCAAAUCUCAAGGAGGAGUGUUAGAAUUCAUGAGAGUUUGCCUUUGAAAAUGUCUUAGUUAGACUCAGUCUCUGUUUUGCUCCAUAAUUUUCAGUUUUUCUGUUAGUAGAAGUAGUCAUAGUAGCUGAGAGUUUUUAGCAUUUUUCAGUUUGGUUGUAAGCCUAUAAAUAGGCAUUCUCAUUGGUGAAAUAUAGUGUGCCUUUCUCCAACUUAGUACUCUAAUAUUUUCUGCAAGUUUUAGUUCCUUAUUUUUUCUCCAGAUUUUAACAUAUUGUAUGCAUACACAUAGGCUUCUCACAAUGUGAAUCACUUCCAAUUUGCUUAAUGAAACUACAAUUUCAGUCUCUUCUCUUUCUCAGAAAUUAAUUAUGCUUUACGAAAACUGUGACAACUAUGCUUUUAAAUUACUCUUCUUGGAUUGUUA
rnacentral:lncRNA from 1 species